AGGUGCAAUCAUACCAGCACUAAGACACUGGAUUCCAUCAGAACUCUGAAGUUAAGCGUGCUUGGGCGAGAAUAGUACUAAGAUGGGCUUUGUCACAAGACUUCCACAGGCACAGG
rnacentral:rRNA from 1 species